AUUGAACGCUGGCGGCAUGCCUUACACAUGCAAGUCGAACGGUAACAGGUCUUCGGAUGCUGACGAGUGGCGAACGGGUGAGUAAUACAUCGGAACGUGCCCGAUCGUGGGGGAUAACGAAGCGAAAGCUUUGCUAAUACUGCAUACGAUCUACGGAUGAAAGCAGGGGACCGCAAGGCCUUGCGCGAACGGAGCGGCCGAUGGCAGAUUAGGUAGUUGGUGGGAUAAAAGCUUACCAAGCCGACGAUCUGUAGCUGGUCUGAGAGGACGACCAGCCACACUGGGACUGGGACACGGCCCAGACUCCUACGGGAGGCAGCAGUGGGGAAUUUUGGACAAUGGGCGAAAGCCUGAUCCAGUCAUGCCGCGUGCAGGAUGAAGGCCUUCGGGUUGUAAACUGCUUUUGUACGGAACGAAAAGACUCUGGUUAAUACCUGGGGUCCAUGACGGUACCGUAAGAAUAAGCACCGGCUAACUACGUG
rnacentral:rRNA from 1 species